rnacentral:rRNA from 1 species
UCGAGAAUCUUUCGCAAUGGGCGAAAGCCUGACGAAGCGACGCCGUGUGUGUGAUGAAGGCCUUCGGGUCGUAAAGCACUUUCGCCUGGGAACAAGAAAUUCCGGCUAAUAUCCGGAAAAUUUGAGAGUAUCAGGUAAAGAAGCACCGGCUAACUACGUGCCAGCAGCUGCGGUAAUACGUAGGGUGCAAGCAUUAAUCGGAUUUAUUGGGCGUAAAGGGCGCGUAGGCGGAAAUGCAAGUCAACUGUGAAAUCCCGGGGCUCAACCCCGGAACUGCAUUUGAAACUACAUCCCUAGAGGGUAGGCGGAGAAAACGGAAUUCCACAAGUAGCGGUGAAAUGCGUAGAUAUGUGGAAGAACACCAGUGGCGAAGGCGGUUUUCUAGCUUAUACCUGACGCUGAGGCGCGAAAGCAAGGGGAGCAAACAGGAUUAGAUACCCGCGUAGUCC